rnacentral:tRNA from 1 species
GGGGAUUUGGCUCAGUGGUAGAGCGCUUGCAUAGCAAGCGCAAGGCCCUGGAUUCAGUCCCCA